UAACAAGAAUACCUCCCUGCUUAACCCAACGUUCGUUCGUCACUGGCCCACCUGUGGCAAGAAGUAAUGUAUACAGCAAAGUCAUUAAGAGCUCAAGGUUUGGAAUCAAUAUUCAAAUCCCAACUCAACUACUUACUCCUUGUGUGGCCCUGAAGUAGUUACCUAAACUCAGGCAGCUUCAGGGUUCUUAUUUAUAAAAUGAGGGUUGUAAAACGGCCACGAGGAUUGAGUGAAAUGGCAAAUGUGAAACAUUUGGCACAGUGCGUGAAACCUGGAACACUCAACGUGGCUGGGUUUUUAUUACCACUGUUAGCAUUAUUACAUGACAUAAUCUCCCAGGAGGUAGGAGAGGGCGGAAACCUCAGAAGUCCUCUGCAGCCCUGACAUUUUACAAAUGGGAAAGCUGUGUCACAGACAGCAAGUCUGGGGAGACAGAACUAGAACCCAGAACCCAAAUCAUCUGGCUCCCAGCCAGUGCGUGGACAUUUUUAUACUCAUCUGUGAGCUUUUAAAAGAAAAGAUCCCACCUGGUCUUCAGAUAAUCAAGGCUUGUGCCCCUCUGGUUAGCUCCUCCUCUCCAAUGCACUUUGCUACAUUCCUCUGCAAAUUCAGAUCUCUACUUAAACACCACUUCCUCUGGUACACUUUCCACGAUUCCCUUAGGCUGUCAUUGCUGUGUGCACUUUGUCGCCCGUCAUAGACCUUAUCCAGUGUCUGGAAGUCAAGAUUACAAGGGGAGAAGAGGCAAAAGAUGAGGCUGAAAAAAUAACUUCGUUUGGUUCAUUCCUUCCUUCUUCCUUGAAUUCUUCUCCAGCCGGCCUGUAUCACAAUGUCUGCAAUUACUAGAGCCUCCUACUGGCUGGGCAUGGUGGCUCACACCUGUAAUCUCGGUACUCUGGGAAGCCAAGGCUGGAGGAUCACUUGAGACCAGCCCAGCAACAUGUCUCUACAAAAAAUAAAAAAUUACCAGGGGUAGUGGCGCACACCUGUAGUACUAGCUACUUGGGAGGCUAGGAGGAUUACUUGAGCCCAGGAAUUUAAGUCUGCAGUGAGCCGGGAUCAUGCCACUGUAAUCCAUCCUGGGCCACAAACAUAGUGAGACCCUGACUCAAAAAUAAAAAAUAGAAUAAUAAGCCUCCUACUGAUGCCGAUUUCCUGGGAAGAAAACAGAAUACAAAUGUGGCAACCAGCCCCCACAAUUACCCCUCAUGAUCCUCACUUGCUGAGAUUCAUGCCCUAGUAUAAUCAGGCACACCAAAUCACAGCUGUCUGUGUGAAGGCACUAGGGCUUCUGCCUUGGCCUCUUGAAUUGGUAAAUGGGGCCUCAAUGGGGGAAGCCAGCUGCCAUGUCAUGAGAACAUUAGACAGUCUUGUGGAAAGGCCCCACAGAGAGAAGAACUGUCCUUGAAGGUGGAUCCUCCAGCCUCAGGAAUUCCUUCAGGUAACUGCAGCCCCAGCUGACAUCUGGAUCACAACCUUAGCAGACAUCCCACACUAGAGCAGCCCAUCUAAGUCACUUCCCAAUACCUGAUCCACAGAAACUGUAAAAGGUGACAAUGUCUAUAACUGUUCUAAGCCUCUAAAUUUUAGAAACUAAUGCAACAAAUAAGAAAUUUAAUAGUAACAGCUAAUAUUUAUUAAAUACUUUCAUGUGUCUGGCAUUCUCCUAAGCAGUUUACAAAACUAUCAAAAAGUGUCUCCUAAGCAGUUUACAAAAGUAUUUAAUUGAAUCCUCACAAAAUCCUAUGAGGAUCCUCCUCACUUAACAGAAAAGAAAACUGAAAUAUAGAGGCCCAGCACAGUGGCUCACGCCUGUAAUUCCAGCACUUUGAAAGGCCGAGGCGGGUGGAUCACCUGAGGUGAGAAGCUGGAGACCAGCCUGGCCAACGUGAUGAAACCCCAUCUCUACUAAAAAUAUGAAAAUUAGCUGGGCGUGGUGGUGGGCGCCUGUAAUCCGAGCUACUCGGGAAGCUGAGGCAGGAGAAUUGCUUGAACCCAAGAGGCAGAGCUUGCAAUGAGCCAAGAUCACGCCACUGCACUCCAGCCUGGGUGACAAGAGCGAAACUCAAGAAAGAGAGAGAGAGAGAGAGAGAGAGAGAGAAGGGAGGGAGGGAGGGAAGGAAAGAAGGAAAAGAAAAGAAAAGAAAGAAAGAAAAAGAAAGAAAGGGAAAGAAAGAAAACGGAAAUAUAAAGAGGUGAAAUUGCUUGCACAAAAUCACACAACUACAUAGGCAGGUGACUGACCCAUGAUUCAAACCUAGACUGGCUUCAGAGCCCCCAAACACUUUCUUGUCCUCAAGAAGUUUGCAAAAUACUAGGAAAGAUAAGAUGUAAGUGUAGGCCCUCAUGCAAGGUAGAAGGCAAAGCUGUGUAUCAGAUAUUCAGAGGCCUGCAAAAUUUCUUCCAGGAAGAGAUGGAAGGGUCUCACUUAAAGACUGGAAAAGAUUUGUACGGACAGAGAAGAGCCCUCCUGGCAGAGGGAAUGGUAUUAACAAGGUAAACAGUCUGUGAGGGUCUCCAAGGUGCUCGGGAAAGUUGAUGCAUAGUCUCUUUUCCCCCACGGAGCUCAUAGUCUAAUAGGGGAGGUAGACCUUAAAUAAAUAUGAACAUUCAGGAAGACUGGCAAGAUGAAGGCCCAUGUUCUGGGUGUGCACAAGAGGGAAAAGGCCUGAACAGGGAGGAGACACAGAGUAGGCUGUAGAACAUGGAGACACAAAGAGAUGGGAGGGAGAAAACAGCCAGAACUAUGUCAGAUAACAUGUGGGUGGAUCUUUUUUUAACCCCAGGGAAAAGUACUGGAGCUUGGCUGUCCUUCUGAGAUGGGUCUGUGGGAAGGGACAAGAAGAGACUGAAGAAAAAUCUAGAAAAACCAAUAUCCAGUCUAAACAAGCUGCAGAACAGAGGACAGACUGGGUUACAAUACCACUACACAAAGCUUUAGACGUUCUUUGAUUCUCGUGGCUUUUUAUUCAUGCCCUGAAGUCCUUAUUUGUAUAUAUAAUGGGUACCAAAUGAAGUUGAGAUAGGAAGAUAAACUAAACUGAAUACAUUUUUCUAAACAAGUAUGAGGGCAGUUUCACAAACCAUCAGGCUUCACUUUUUUCCCAGAGACUUUCCACUUUUUUAGUGGAAACAAGGGUGACAAAGGGUCUAUGCAAAAAACCAUGGGUUGUUUUCUCUGGAGUCACCACAGGCAUGAUGGCUGCUGGUGGCCAUGGUGGGUGUUUAAGAGCAGUGUCAGAGAAGGGAACUGGCAGAGUGAAGCUGCCUAGGUGGC
rnacentral:lncRNA from 1 species